rnacentral:ncRNA from 1 species
CGAGCCUCUGGAGAGACUCAAUUAAGAGCACCGAAGGAGCAAGGCUUAUUUAAAUAAGUUGAAACUCUCAGGUAAAAGGACAGGGGAUUA